rnacentral:rRNA from 1 species
GUACACGCUGUGACUAGCAUAUCAAUAAGCGGAGGAAAAGAAACUAACAAGGAUUCCCUUAGUAACGGCGAUGUGAAGCGGGAAGAGCUCAAAUUUGAAAUCUUCAAGGUUUUACCUUGACGAAUUGUAGUUUAAAGAAGUGUUUUCUGUCUGAAGUUUUGGUAAAAGUUCUUUGGAAUAGGACAUCAUAGAGGGUGAGAAUCCCGUAUUUGACCAUUAUUUUCAGCUGUGUGAUACACUUUCAAAGAGUCGGAUUGUUUGGGAAUGCAGUCCAAAAUGGGUGGUAAAUUUCAUCUAAAGCUAAAUAUUGGCGAGAGACCGAUAGCGAACAAGUACCGUGAGGGAAAGAUGAAAAGAACUUUGAAAAGAGAGUUAAACAGUACGUGAAAUUGUCAAAAGGGAAGCGUUUGACACCAGUGUUGUUUUCUCGAAAAUCAAUUAAAAAUGAGCUCGGAUUUUGUAGUUGCUGAUGACCUUAAAAGCUUCACUGUACAUUUUUCCUGUCUUUUUUAAUGCACUUUUCGUUUAACAAGUCAACAUCAGUUUCUUUUGUUGUAAAAGGGUCAUUGGAAGGUGGCUUUCUUUUCGGAGAAAGUGUUUAUAGCCUUUGAUCUCUGCAAUCGGAGAGACUGAGGUCUGCAGCGUAGAUCCUUCGGGGUUAGAUACAUUUGUGCUAAGUUAUAACUUUUCAUAGACAACUUGUUGACUAUAGUUUAGUCAUUGUAGCUUACUCGCUUAUGCUAUUUUACCUACGCUUAGGAUGUUGACGCAUGAGAUAUACGC